rnacentral:rRNA from 1 species
CUACGGGUUGCUCCAGUGAGGAAUAUUGCACAAUGGGGGGAACCCUGAUGCAGCAACGCCGCGUGGAGGAUGACGCAUUUCGGUGUGUAAACUCCUUUUAUAUGUCAAGAAAAUGACGGUAGCAUAUGAAUAAGCACCGGCUAACUCCGUGCCACAGCCGCGGUAAUACGGAGGGUGCAAGCGUUACUCGGAAUCACUGGGCGUAAAGGACGCGUAGGCGGGUUGGAAAGUCAGGUGUGAAAUCCUACAGCUUAACUGUAGAACCGCACUUGAAACUUCUAAUCUAGAGUAUGGGAGGGGGAGAUGGAAUUAGUGGUGUAGGGGUAAGAUCCGUAGAUAUCACUAGGAAUACCUAAAGCGAAGGCGAUCUCCUGGAACAUUACUGACGCUAAGGCGUGAAAGCGUGGGGAGCAAACAGGAUUAGAUACCCCCGUAGUC